UACGUAGGGUGCAAGCGUUGUCCGGAAUUAUUGGGCGUAAAGAGCUCGUAGGCGGUUUGUCGCGUCUGCUGUGAAAACUGGAGGCUCAACCUCCAGCCUGCAGUGGGUACGGGCAGACUAGAGUGCGGUAGGGGAGAUUGGAAUUCCUGGUGUAGCGGUGGAAUGCGCAGAUAUCAGGAGGAACACCGAUGGCGAAGGCAGAUCUCUGGGCCGUAACUGACGCUGAUAAGCGAAAGCCAGGGGAGCAAACGGG
rnacentral:rRNA from 1 species